rnacentral:misc_RNA from 1 species
GAUGAAGAACGCAGCGAAAUGCGAUACGUAAUGUGAAUUGCAGAAUUCAGUGAAUCAUCGAAUCUUUGAACGCAUAUUGCGCUCUCUGGUAUUUCGGAGAGCAUGCUUGUUUGAGUAUCAGUAAACACCUCAACUUCCAUAUCUUUUUUGAAAUGGGAGUUGGACUUGAGUGAUCCCAACGCUUUUCCUCACCGAAAAGUGGCGGGUUACUUGAAAUGCAGGUGCAGCUGGACUUUUCUCUGAGCUAUAAGCAUAUCUAUUUAGUCUGCCUAAAAACAGAUUAUUACCUUUGCUGCAGCUAACAUAAAGGAGAUUAGUUCUUGUGCUGACUGAUGCAGGAUUCACAAAGACAGGCUUCGGCCGACUUUGUAAACUCGAUCUCAAAUCAAGUAAGACUACCCGCUGAACUUAAGCAUAUCAAUAAGCGGAGGA